GAUCCUGGCUCAGGAUGAACGCUGGCGGCGUGCUUAACACAUGCAAGUCGAACGAGAAUCAAUGGAAAGAGGAUUCGUCCAAUUGAAGUUGAGGAAAGUGGCGGACGGGUGAGUAACGCGUGAGGAACCUGCCUUGGAGUGGGGAAUAACAGCUGGAAACAGCUGCUAAUACCGCAUAAUGCAACUGGGUCGCAUGGCCCUGGUUGCCAAAGAUUUAUCGCU
rnacentral:rRNA from 1 species